AUUGAACGCUGGCGGCAGGCCUAACACAUGCAAGUCGUAUGAGUGGCGGACGGGUGGGUAAUGUAUGGGAAACUGCCUGAGAGGGCGGGGUAAGUACUGUAAAAGGUAGCUAACACCGAUAACCGUCAGAUGUGCUGAGAUGGGAGUAGCUUGGUGGAGGGGUAACGGCGCACCAAGGCGAAGAUGCCUAGCUGGUCUGAGAGGAUGACCAGCCACACUGGGACUGAGACACGGUCCAGAGUCCUCCGGGAGGCAUCAGUGGGGAAUAUGGGACAAUGGGCGCAAGCCUGAUGCAGCCAUGCCGCGUGUAUGAAGAAGGCCUUCGGGUUGUAAAGUACUUUCAGCGGGGAAGCGUUACCCGCAGAAGAAGCACCGGCUAACUCCGUGCCAGCAGCCGCGGUAAUUC
rnacentral:rRNA from 1 species